rnacentral:rRNA from 1 species
AUGGCGGAGAAGCUGAGGGAUCUGAGCCAGCCGAUAGAUGUCCCCGUGCUCGACGCCACCGUCGCCGCCUUCUAUGGCACCGGAUCUAAGGAGGAGAGGAGCGCCGCUGAUCUGAUACUGCGGGAUCUGCAAAACAACCCUGACAUGUGGCUGCAAGUGGUGCACAUCCUGCAGAACUCCCAGAACCUCAACACCAAGUUCUUUGCCCUCCAAGUACUUGAAAGUGUUAUCAAGUACAGGUGGAACGCAUUGCCGGUUGAACAACGUGACGGCAUAAAGAAUUACAUAUCUGAUGUGAUUGUCCAGCUCUCAAGUAAUGAGGUUUCCUUUCGACAAGAGAGGCUUUAUGUUAAUAAGCUCAACAUUAUAUUGGUGCAGGUUCUGAAGCAUGAGUGGCCAGCCAGGUGGACAUCCUUCAUUCCUGACCUUGUUGCAGCAGCAAAGAGCAGUGAAACCAUAUGUGAAAACUGCAUGGCUAUACUGAAGCUUUUAAGUGAAGAAAUUUUUGAUUUUUCAAGAGGUGAAAUGACACAACAGAAGAUUAAAGAACUCAAGUCCUCACUCAACAGUGAAUUUCGACUCAUCCACGAGCUGUGUUUGUAUGUCCUAUCUGCAACACAAAGUUCUGAGCUGAUCCGUGCUACAUUGGCUACGCUUCAUGCUUUCUUAUCAUGGAUUCCUGUUGGAUUCAUAUUUGAGUCGCCAUUGCUGGAGACGCUGCUGAAGUUCUUUCCUAUGGCUGCCUAUCGGAACCUUACACUUCAGUGUCUAACAGAGGUUGCUGCUCUUCAGUUCGGUGAUUUUUAUAAUGUGCAGUAUGUGAAGAUGUACACAUUUUUCAUGUUGCAGCUGCAGGCUAUUCUUCCUCCUGGAACAAUUCCCAAUGCGUAUGCUAAUGGUUCCAAUGAAGAACAAGCAUUCAUACAAAAUCUGGCACUCUUCUUCACUGCCUUCUUCAAGAAUCAUAUACGCAUACUGGAGGCUUCUGCAGAAAAUAGAGCUGCAUUACUUGUUGGUCUCGAGUACCUCAUCGGAAUAUCAUAUGUUGAUGACACUGAAGUUUUCAAGGUGUGUUUGGAUUACUGGAAUGUAUUUGUCUUGGAGCUUUUUGAAGCACACAAUCAAAUGGAGCCUGCAAUACCAGCUGUAAGCAUGAUUGGGCUUCAGGCCCAGAUGAUUCCUGGAGUUGAUGGUACUGGUACAGCUGUUCACCAAAGGAGGCAGCUUUAUGCAAGUCCACUAUCAAAAUUACGAAUGUUGAUGAUUUGUCGGAUGGCAAAGCCUGAAGAGGUAUUGAUUGUGGAAGAUGAAAAUGGCAAUAUUGUACGGGAAACAAUGAAGGAUAAUGAUGUCCUUGUCCAAUAUAAGAUCAUGAGGGAAACGUUGAUCUAUUUGUCCCAUCUUGAUCAUGAGGAUACAGAGCAACAGAUGUUGAAGAAAUUGACUAAGCAAUUGAAUGGAGAAGACUGGAGUUGGAAUAACCUCAAUACUCUAUGCUGGGCUAUUGGAUCAAUAUCUGGUUCUAUGGUGGAGGAACAGGAGAACAGAUUCUUGGUGAUGGUUAUUCGUGAUUUGCUAAAUCUCUGUGAAAUCACGAAGGGGAAAGACAACAAAGCUGUUAUUGCGAGUAACAUCAUGUAUGUGGUCGGUCAGUACCCAAGAUUUCUCAGGGCUCAUUGGAAGUUUCUGAAGACAGUAGUCAACAAAUUAUUUGAGUUCAUGCAUGAGAUGCAUCCUGGAGUUCAGGAUAUGGCGUGUGAUACAUUCCUGAAAAUUGUUCAGAAAUGCAAGCGCAAGUUUGUGACACAACAGGUGGGCGAGAACGAACCAUUUGUUUCUGAACUGCUCACCAACCUUGCUACGACAAUUCUUGAUCUUGAGCCGCAUCAGAUUCAUACGUUUUAUGAAUCGGUUGGUCACAUGAUUCAAGCUGAAUCUGAUAAUACUAAGAGGGACGAAUACCUGAAGAGAUUGAUGAGCCUUCCUAAUCAGAAAUGGGCAGAAAUAAUUGGACAGGCAGGCCAAAGCAUUGAUAUCCUGAAGAACCAAGAUGUUAUCAGAUCUGUUCUUAACAUCUUGCAGACAAACACAAGUGUUGCGACUUCGCUUGGACCACACUUUUUCCCACAAAUUUCACUGAUCUUCCUCGACAUGCUGACAGUUUACAGAAUGUACAGCGAGCUAGUAUCAAGCACUAUUGCUGAAGGGGGGCCUUAUGCCUCAAAGUCGUCAUUUGUAAAACUCUUAAGAUCUAUCAAGAGGGAAACAUUGAAAUUGAUUGAGACGUUUGUGGACAAAGCUGAAGACCUACCGCACCUUGGGAAGCAGUUUGUUCCUCCAAUGAUGGAUCCUAUUCUUGGUGAUUAUGCUAGAAAUGUGCCUGAUGCAAGGGAAUCUGAAGUCCUGUCCCUGUUUGCAACAAUUAUAAACAAGUACAAAGCUGAAAUGCUUGAUGAUGUGCCUCGUAUAUUCGAGGCUGUUUUCCAGUGUACUCUUGAGAUGAUUACUAAAAACUUUGAAGAUUAUCCUGAGCACCGCCUCAAGUUUUUCUCUUUACUUCGUGCUAUCGGCACCCAUUGCUUCAAAGCUUUAAUUCAGCUUUCCAGCCAGCAAUUGAAGCUUGUGAUUGAUUCGAUCAACUGGGCAUUUAGACAUACAGAGAGAAACAUUGCCGAGACUGGUCUUAGUCUUUUAUUGGAAAUUCUGAAGAAUUUUCAGGCUUCAGAAUUCACGAAUCAGUUCUACAAAACAUAUUUUUUGACUAUAGAGCAGGAGAUUUUUGCAGUUCUCACAGAUUCAUUUCAUAAGCCUGGCUUCAAACUUCAUGUUUUGGUGCUACAACACUUGUUUUGUGUGGUUGAUGGCCUAACUGAACCUCUAUGGGAUGCAUCCACGGCAUCAUAUCCAUCUAAUGCCAUGUUUGUACGGGACUACACAAUCAAACUUCUUGGAGCAUCAUUUCCUAACAUGACGGCAGCUGAGGUGACCAAGUUUGUUGAUGGGCUCCUUGGUUCGAGACAUGACCUCCCAAGCUUCAAAAACCAUAUUAGGGACUUCCUGGUGCAAUCAAAGGAGUUCUCAGCCCAGGAUAACAAGGAUCUGUAUGCGGAAGAGGCUGCGGUACAAAGAGAAAAGGAAAGGCAACGGAUGCUUGCCAUCCCAGGGCUGAUUGCCCCAAGCGAAUUGCAAGAUGAGAUGGUAGACUCAUAG